rnacentral:rRNA from 1 species
AACAACUCACCUGCCGAAUGGAUUAGCCCUGAAAAUGGAUGGCGCUUAAGCGGGCAGCCGAUACCACGCCGUUUGUUUUAUGUAUAACAGAUGAGUAGGAGGGCGUGGAGGUCGUAUCGAAGCAUGCGUGCGAACGCGUGUGGAACGGCCUCUAGUGCAGAUCUUGGUGGUAGUAGCAAAUAUUCAAGCGAGAUCCUUGAAGGGCGAAGCGGGGAAGGGUUCCACGCGAACAUUGAUUGGGCGUGGGUGAGUCGUUCCUAAGCCGAGUGGUAAUUGCUGUAUAACGGCGAAAGGGAAGCGGGUUGAAAUUCCCGCACACGGAUGUGGAGGCGGUGACGCUUUAAUGAGACGAGCAUGUUGGCGGUUGCACUGGGCAGAGAUUUCUUUUCUGUUUAACCAGCUCGCGCGCUGUGUGGAAUCCGAUUGUCGGGAGAAACACGCGUUCCGGGUAAGAGCGCCGGGACUUUUCCGGCGUCCAGCUCGCGACCGACGACCCUUGAAAACUUGUCUGCUGUAUUAAAAUCCACGCCGUGGCGUACCGAUAACCGCAUCAGGUCCCCAAGGUGAACAGCCUCUGUCUGAUAUGAAAAAU